CGUUUGCAGCACAGCCACCCCACCUUCAGCUGAUCAUCCCAGAUCCAGCAGCAGGUUCUGUAGUUCUCUGAGGUGGAGUUCCCAGAGUCAACUGACAGCUCCUCUGCCAUGACACCUUGCCCUUGCUGCCCUUGGGCUGGGGACAUAACGAAGAGUCUGAUUGUUUUGGUUGCACCAUCAGUACACGGCUCUAAGGAGAGGAGAAACUACUAGAACAUACUUUCUGCAUGAAGAUGGGGAAAAUAGGUGGAAGGAUGUACUUCGCAUCCUCAACACUUGUUUUCUGGGAAGAAACAAGAAUGUAAAGGUCAUGUACUGACAUUGUGGAGAUCUUCUAAAAUUCAGUGAAAUAAAAGACGAAACUACCAUUAAUUUUACCAUCCAGACUGCACCAAAAUGUUAACAAUACUGUUUUCUCUCCUAUUAAUAAACCUGUACUUAUAUUUUAUAAAAUUGGGAGCAUAUUUCAUACUUUUAUAACUUGUGUUUUUCAUGUAUAUCAUGAACAUUUUCCAAGAUUGUUAAAUACUCUGAAAACAUGAUUUUUAAUAGUAAUAUUAAAUAUUUGUAAUAUUCCUUUUGAUAGUCCACUAUUUAUCCUACAUGAUCUAUAACAUAAGUAUAAAUAAAAACAUUUUACCUUCA